GUGGGGAAUCUUGCGCAAUGGGCGAAAGCCUGACGCAGCCAUGCCGCGUGAAUGAUGAAGGUCUUAGGAUUGUAAAAUUCUUUCACCGGGGACGAUAAUGACGGUACCCGGAGAAGAAGCCCCGGCUAACUUCGUGCCAGCAGCCGCGGUAAUACGAAGGGGGCUAGCGUUGCUCGGAAUUACUGGGCGUAAAGGGCGCGUAGGCGGACAGUUUAGUCAGAGGUGAAAGCCCAGGGCUCAACCUUGGAAUUGCCUUUGAUACUGGCUGUCUUGAGUACGGGAGAGGUGAGUGGAACUCCGAGUGUAGAGGUGAAAUUCGUAGAUAUUUGGAAGAACACCAGUGGCGAAGGCGACUCACUGGCCCGUUACUGACGCUGAGGCGCGAAAGCGUGGGGAGCAAACAGGAUUAGAAACCCCAGUAGUCC
rnacentral:rRNA from 1 species